UGGGGAAUCUUCCGCAAUGGACGAAAGUCUGACGGAGCAACGCCGCGUGAGUGAUGACGGCCUUCGGGUUGUAAAGCUCUGUUAAUCGGGACGAAUGGUUCUUGUGCAAAUAGUGCGAGGAUUUGACGGUACCGGAAUAGAAAGCCACGGCUAACUACGUGCCAGCAGCCGCGGUAAUACGUAGGUGGCAAGCGUUGUCCGGAAUUAUUGGGCGUAAAGCGCGCGCAGGCGGAUUGGUCAGUCUGUCUUAAAAGUUCGGGGCUUAACCCCGUGAUGGGAUGGAAACUGCCAAUCUAGAGUAUCGGAGAGGAAAGUGGAAUUCCUAGUGUAGCGGUGAAAUGCGUAGAUAUUAGGAAGAACACCAGUGGCGAAGGCGACUUUCUGGACGAAAACUGGCGCUGAGGCGCGAAAGCCAGGGGAGCGAACGGG
rnacentral:rRNA from 1 species